UACGUAGGUGGCAAGCGUUAUCCGGAAUUAUUGGGCGUAAAGCGCGCGCAGGUGGUUUCUUAAGUCUGAUGUGAAAGCCCACGGCUCAACCGUGGAGGGUCAUUGGAAACUGGGAGACUUGAGUGCAGAAGAGGAAAGUGGAAUUCCAUGUGUAGCGGUGAAAUGCGUAGAGAUAUGGAGGAACACCAGUGGCGAAGGCGACUUUCUGGUCUGUAACUGACACUGAGGCGCGAAAGCGUGGGGAGCGAACGGG
rnacentral:rRNA from 1 species